rnacentral:rRNA from 1 species
GGGGUUGUGCUAACAAAAGACAACCUCGCACGACGCAACUGGUCAGAAAGUAAGAAAUGUUGUUUUUGUACUCAUGAUGAGACAAUUAAACACCUCUUUUUCCAAUGUAAGUUCGCGUGUUCUACAUGGUCAGCCAUCCAAAUAGCGUCAAAUUUAUAUCCGCCUACAAGUGUUGCCAAUAUUUUUCGUCAUUGGCUGGACGGUAUUUCAAAUAAGUACAAAACGCCAAUAAUGGUGGGAGCAUAUGCAUUACUAUGGUCGCUUUGGCUAUGUAGAAAUGAUGUUGUUUUUAAUGACUAA